rnacentral:ncRNA from 10 species
UACGUUCAUCCAGUAUUGGACGGAAGUAGUCAAACAAGUGACGAAGGAACGCCGA